UACGUAGGGGGCGAGCGUUGUCCGGAUUUAUUGGGCGUAAAGAGCUCGUAGGUGGUUUGGUAAGUCGGAUGUGAAAUCUCCAGGCUCAACCUGGAGGGGUCAUUCGAUACUGCCGUGACUAGAGUUCGGUAGGGGAGUGUGGAAUUCCUGGUGGAGCGGUGAAAUGCGCAGAUAUCAGGAGGAACACCCGUAGCGAAGGCGGCACUCUGGGCCGAUACUGACACUGAGGAGCGAAAGCGUGGGGAGCGAACAGG
rnacentral:rRNA from 1 species